AUUGAACGCUGGCGGCAGGCCUAACACAUGCAAGUCGAGCGGAGCGGCGGACGGGUGAGUAAGGCCUAGGAAUCUGCCUGGGAGUGGGGGAUAACGUCCGGUAACGGGCGCUAAUACCACAUACUCUCAGAUGAGCCUAGGUCGGAUUAGCUAGUUGGUGGGGGAAAGGCCUACCAAGGCGACGAUCCGUAACUGGUCUGAGAGGAUGAUCAGUCACACUGGAACUGAGACACGGCCCAGACUCCUACGGGAGGCAGCAGUGGGGAAUAUUGGACAAUGGGGGAAAGCCUGAUCCAGCCAUGCCGCGUGUGUGAAGAAGGCCUUCGGAUUGUAAAGCACUUUAAGUUGGGAGGCGUUACCAGCAGAAUAAGCACCGGCUAACUUCGUGCCAGCAGCCGCGGUAAUUC
rnacentral:rRNA from 1 species